UUAAGUUAUGAAGGGCGCAUGGUGAAUGCCUUGGCACUAGGAGCCGAUGAAGGACGGGACUAACACCGAUAUGCUUCGGGGAGCGGUAACUAUGCUUUGAUCCGGAGAU
rnacentral:rRNA from 1 species